rnacentral:lncRNA from 1 species
UCACUGGUUGUAACUGUAUGUAGAUUCAAAUUUUUUAUUUAUUUUGAUGCACUGUAAUUCAACUAUUGUAAUUGUAACUGCACGAAGAGUCUCGACUGCAAUAGCUAGAACUACAUCUAAAUUGGCCGUAACUCUAACUGCACGCUUAAAAAGAGUAGUUUUAAAUAUAGGUAACCUUACCUCUGUAAUAAUUAUUUAAACUUUUUUUCCCUUUCUUAUAUAAAGGGUAAUUUCACCACCCCACAUAUAAAAUGAUAAAAAUUCGUAAAUACACUUUUUAACUACAGGCAACCAAAAAAGAUAUUUACAGUUAUAGAGCUUUUUACUAUAACGAACAAAAUGAGAUGCAUGUAAUUAUAAUUAUUGUAUUUUUCAUUGCAUACAUCUUUAACUAUACUGUAUUUAUAAUUAUAUCGAACCAAAUAAUAUCUGACGUGAAACGAACAAUGCUCCUUGUAN